AGGGUGUAAACGCUGCGGGCUUGGUGUUGGGGGUCCUUAGUGGGCGCCCAGUGCCGGAGAGAAGUUGUUAAGCCUGCUGCUUGGGGAGUAUGUCCGCAAGGAUGAAACUUAAAGGAAUUGGCGGGGGAGCACCACAAGAGGUGGAGGCUGCGGUUCGAUUGGACUCAACGCCGGAAAACUCAUCGGGAGCGACAGCAGUAUGAUUGCCAGGUUGAUGACCUUGCUUGACAAGCUGAGAGGUGGUGCAUGGCGUAGUCGUGU
rnacentral:rRNA from 1 species